UACGUAGGGUGCAAGCGUUGCCCGGAUUUAUUGGGCGUAAAGGGCGCGCAGGCGGCUACGCACGUCCGUUGUGAAAUCGCUCGGCUCAACUGGGCGGGGUCGGCGGAUACGGCGUAGCUGGAGCAAGCUAGGGGGCAAUGGAAUUCCCGGUGUAGUGGUGGAAUGCGCAGAUAUCAGGAGGAACACCGGUGGCGAAGGCGGUUCUCUGGGCAUUACCUGACGCUGAGGAGCGAAAGUGUGGGGAGCGAACAGG
rnacentral:rRNA from 1 species